GACGAACGCUGGCGGCGUGCCUAAUACAUGCAAGUCGAACGCAGUGGGGACGGGUGAGUAACACGUGGGUAACCUCCCAUCAGAGGGGAUAACACUUGGAAACCGGUGCUAAACCGAUACUGAUGGAUGGACCCGCGGUGCAUUAGCUAGUUGGGGGGGUAACGGCGCACCAAGUCCACGAUGCAUAGCCGCCCUGAGAGGGUGAUCGGCCAUACUGGGACUGAGACACGGCCCAGACUCCUACGGGAGGCAGCAGUAGGGAAUCUUCGGCAAUGGACGAAAGUCUGACCGAGCCACGCCGCGUGAGUGAAGAAGGUUUUCGGAUUGUAAAACUCUGUUGUUAGAGAAGCGGUAUCUAACCAGAAAGCCACGGCUAACUACGUGCCAGCAGCCGCGGUAAUUC
rnacentral:rRNA from 1 species